rfam:Mus musculus chromosome 18, GRC primary reference assembly.
AUAGGGCCAUCUGGCUGUGACAUCUGACACUCCAUUGAUAGCCAGAGUUGAUUCAUCUGAUCUGGCUGACUAGAUGGGUGUCCACUUUCUCCCUCACUGCUCCAAGUGCAACCCUCUUGAAGCUGCACACUAUUGCUUUGUCAAACAGGAUGAUCUUCCCCAAUAGAGGAUGACAUGCCUUUUGUCAAGGGUAUAUGAGUAACUGCUUUCUCUCUCUCUCCUGCUAGAACCUCCAAACAAGCUCUCAAGUUUCAAAAGUCUAAGACUUUUAUACUACACGGAACUAAAUAUGAUGAGCGAGAAUGAAUAACUGAGAUCCAAGUCAACACAGAAGUCUAAAGUGACAAUUUU